rnacentral:rRNA from 1 species
UACGGGGGGAGCUAGCGUUGUUCGUCAUGUAUUGGGCGUAAAGAAGGUGUAGACGGCUAUUUUUUAAAGGUUUGUUCUAAAAUCUAGAGGCUUAACUUCUUUUGGUAGAACUUAUUCCAAAAUAGCUUGAGUUAAGAAAAGGAAGGCGGUACUCUCAGUGGAGAGUUGAAAUCCCGGAAAUUGCAGAGGACCCUUAUUAUGCGAAGGCGGCUUUCUUUAGUAUUAACUGACGUCGUGGCCUUAAAGUGUGGGGAGCAAACGGG